AAAACAGGUUAUUUGUCAUUGGAACGAAAGUCAUUCUCAUGAACUACACUAACCUGUGCAUGCCUUUGCCGGGAGGGUCAUGAUUAUUUCUUUAUGCUUUGCAUACUAUGCAGGAGUUUGUGAAACUGAUCAUUCAAGCUGGUUUAACUAGGAAAGCCCGAGGCAGCUGUUCCAGGCAGGGGACUGUCUCUUUAAAGCAGCAGUUGCUGUUAAGUUUCUCUCAGUGCACUGGCUUGUAAAUGUCACCUCCCCAAUGGAAGUGGCAAGAUCAAAUGUGAUUUGGAGAGAACCCAGAACAAGGUGUAAUGAAUUAUUUACACAAACCCCAUUUUGAGAAUAUGGAGCAGCUGUCCAUGCAGAGGUGUAAUACUACAAUCAAGGGAAACCUGUGGCGUUCCUGAAGAAACAUCUACCUCUUUGUUGUACCGCCUUUAUUAGUCUUUCCGUACCCCUGUGUAAAUAUAUGUGUCUAUCACAGGGUUAUCAUUUCCACUGAUAUAUUUAAUUAAAGGAUAUUUUAAGUUGGAUUUUAAGUUUGUAUAUUCAGCUAUUUACAGUAAGAAUAAUGUGAAAGGGGUUAAUGUGAAGUUUCAAAACCUUACCCUGUUCCAGGAUAAUUGUGUUAAGUAAAUGUACAGUAUGCUUUGUUUUUGAUACUACAGUGUUCUCACACUAAAACAAUAUAUUGAUGUAUACUGCGUCUGUAAUUUGGUGUAAUAUUUUUCUUUCAGUCCUGUGUUUUAGUAUGCAAUAUCGCAAAAAGAAAUAAAAGCCUACUUAAAAGCAAGGCCAAGCAUAUUAGAAAGUGUGUUCUAGUGUGCUAUAAAGAACACAUUGGAAAUGAAGCUUAA